rnacentral:rRNA from 1 species
GGUUAAGCGACUAAGCGUACACGGUGGAUGCCCUGGCAGUCAGAGGCGAUGAAGGGCGUGCUAAUCUGCGAUAAGCGCCGGUAAGGUGAUAUGAACCGUUAUAACCGGCGAUACCCGAAUGGGGAAACCCAGUGUGAUUCGUCACACUAUCAUUAACUGAAUCCAUAGGUUAAUGAGGCGAACCGGGGGAACUGAAACAUCUAAGUACCCCGAGGAAAAGAAAUCAACCGAGAUUCCCCCAGUAGCGGCGAGCGAACGGGGAGGAGCCCAGAGCCUGAAUCAGCAUGUGUGUUAGUGGAAGCGUCUGGAAAGGUGCGCGAUACAGGGUGACAGCCCCGUACACAAAAGCGCAUGUGCUGUGAGCUCGAUGAGUAGGGCGGGACACGUGGUAUCCUGUCUGAAUAUGGGGGGACCAUCCUCCAAGGCUAAAUACUCCUGACUGACCGAUAGUGAACCAGUACCGUGAGGGAAAGGCGAAAAGAACCCCGGCGAGGGGAGUGAAAAAGAACCUGAAACCGUGUACGUACAAGCAGUGGGAGCCCCACCACUAAGCCAGUGGUGAACUCCACAUCCGCAUCCUUUGCUGAGGAUACGGUUAACGGAGCGAAAGCGACGUUCAACCGCAAAACAAGCAGAGGGGGCUUAGUGGUGGGGUGACUGCGUACCUUUUGUAUAAUGGGUCAGCGACUUAUAUUCUGUAGCAAGGUUAACCGAAUAGGGGAGCCGGAGGGAAACCGAGUCUUAAUUGGGCGUUAAGUUGCAGGGUAUAGACCCGAAACCCGGUGAUCUAGCCAUGGGCAGGUUGAAGGUUGGGUAACACUAACUGGAGGACCGAACCGACUAAUGUUGAAAAAUUAGCGGAUGACCUGUGGCUGGGGGUGAAAGGCCAAUCAAACCGGGAGAUAGCUGGUUCUCCCCGAAAGCUAUUUAGGUAGCGCCUCGUGAAUUCAUCUCCGGGGGUAGAGCACUGUUUCGGCUAGGGGGCCAUCCCGGCUUACCAACCCGAUGCAAACUGCGAAUACCGGAGAAUGUUAUCACGGGAGACACACGGCGGGUGCUAACGUCCGUCGUGAAGAGGGAAACAACCCAGACCGCCAGCUAAGGUCCCAAAGUCAUGGUUAAGUGGGAAACGAUGUGGGAAGGCCCAGACAGCCAGGAUGUUGGCUUAGAAGCAGCCAUCAUUUAAAGAAAGCGUAAUAGCUCACUGGUCGAGUCGGCCUGCGCGGAAGAUGUAACGGGGCUAAACCAUGCACCGAAGCUGCGGCAGCGACGCUGAUGCGUUGUUGGGUAGGGGAGCGUUCUGUAAGCCUGUGAAGGUGUGUCGUGAGGCAUGCUGGAGGUAUCAGAAGUGCGAAUGCUGACAUAAGUAACGAUAAAGCGGGUGAAAAGCCCGCUCGCCGGAAGACCAAGGGUUCCUGUCCAACGUUAAUCGGGGCAGGGUGAGUCGACCCCUAAGGCGAGGCCGAAAGGCGUAGUCGAUGGGAAACGGGUUAAUAUUCCCGUACUUGGUGUUACUGCGAAGGGGGGACGGAGAAGGCUAUGUUGGCCGGGCGACGGUUGUCCCGGUUUAAGCGUGUAGGUGUGUGUUCCAGGUAAAUCCGGUUCACUUUAACACUGAGGCGUGACGACGAGGCACUACGGUGCUGAAGCAACAAAUGCCCUGCUUCCAGGAAAAGCCUCUAAGCAUCAGGUAACACGAAAUCGUACCCCAAACCGACACAGGUGGUCAGGUAGAGAAUACCAAGGCGCUUGAGAGAACUCGGGUGAAGGAACUAGGCAAAAUGGUGCCGUAACUUCGGGAGAAGGCACGCUGACACGUAGGUGAAGUGAUUUACUCAUGGAGCUGAAGUCAGUCGAAGAUACCAGCUGGCUGCAACUGUUUAUUAAAAACACAGCACUGUGCAAACACGAAAGUGGACGUAUACGGUGUGACGCCUGCCCGGUGCCGGAAGGUUAAUUGAUGGGGUCAGCGCAAGCGAAGCUCCUGAUCGAAGCCCCGGUAAACGGCGGCCGUAACUAUAACGGUCCUAAGGUAGCGAAAUUCCUUGUCGGGUAAGUUCCGACCUGCACGAAUGGCGUAAUGAUGGCCAGGCUGUCUCCACCCGAGACUCAGUGAAAUUGAACUCGCUGUGAAGAUGCAGUGUACCCGCGGCAAGACGGAAAGACCCCGUGAACCUUUACUAUAGCUUGACACUGAACAUUGAGCCUUGAUGUGUAGGAUAGGUGGGAGGCUUUGAAGUGUGGACGCCAGUCUGCAUGGAGCCGACCUUGAAAUACCACCCUUUAAUGUUUGAUGUUCUAACGUGGACCCGUAAUCCGGGUUGCGGACAGUGUCUGGUGGGUAGUUUGACUGGGGCGGUCUCCUCCUAAAGAGUAACGGAGGAGCACGAAGGUUGGCUAAUCCUGGUCGGACAUCAGGAGGUUAGUGCAAUGGCAUAAGCCAGCUUGACUGCGAGCGUGACGGCGCGAGCAGGUGCGAAAGCAGGUCAUAGUGAUCCGGUGGUUCUGAAUGGAAGGGCCAUCGCUCAACGGAUAAAAGGUACUCCGGGGAUAACAGGCUGAUACCGCCCAAGAGUUCAUAUCGACGGCGGUGUUUGGCACCUCGAUGUCGGCUCAUCACAUCCUGGGGCUGAAGUAGGUCCCAAGGGUAUGGCUGUUCGCCAUUUAAAGUGGUACGCGAGCUGGGUUUAGAACGUCGUGAGACAGUUCGGUCCCUAUCUGCCGUGGGCGCUGGAGAACUGAGGGGGGCUGCUCCUAGUACGAGAGGACCGGAGUGGACGCAUCACUGGUGUUCGGGUUGUCAUGCCAAUGGCACUGCCCGGUAGCUAAAUGCGGAAGAGAUAAGUGCUGAAAGCAUCUAAGCACGAAACUUGCCCCGAGAUGAGUUCUCCCUGAGACUUAGAGUCUCCUGAAGGAACGUUGAAGACGACGACGUUGAUAGGCCGGGUGUGUAAGCGCAGCGAUGCGUUGAGCUAACCGGUACUAAUGAACCGUGAGGCUUAACCUU